rnacentral:rRNA from 1 species
GAUGAACGCUGGCGGCGUGCCUAAUACAUGCAAGUCGAGCGAACAGACGAGGAGCUUGCUCCUCUGACGUUAGCGGCGGACGGGUGAGUAACACGUGGAUAACCUACCUAUAAGACUGGGAUAACUUCGGGAAACCGGAGCUAAUACCCGAUAAUAUAUUGAACCGCAUGGUUCAAUAGUGAAAGACGGUUUUGCUGUCACUUAUAGAUGGAUCCGCUCCGCAUUAGCUAGUUGGUAAGGUAACGGCUUACCACGGCAACGAUGCGUAGCCGACCUGAGAGGGUGAUCGGCCACACUGGAACUGAGACACGGCCCAGACUCCUACGGGAGGCAGCAGUAGGGAAUCUUCCGGAAUGGGCGAAAGCCUGACGGAGCAACGCCGCGUGAGUGAUGAAGGUCUUCGGAUCGUAAAACUCUGUUAUUAGGGAAGAACAAAUGUGUAAGUAACUAUGCACGUCUUGACGGUACCUAAUCAGAAAGCCACGGCUAACUACGUG